rnacentral:lncRNA from 1 species
UGUAAUUAUAAUUAAAGACACCUAAUCAACAAAUCAUCAAAUGAAAUAUGUACAUACAUAUGUAUGCACUACGUAAUUAUGAAACAAACAAGUACCAAGGGGGCAGGGUAAGAAAUUAUGUAUCUUCAAAUUUAUGUAAGUCGGGGUAUUACUAUAAUUUUUCUAAAUCUUAUCUUAGUUCAAAGUGUACCAUUAACAAUUUUUUGACAUUUUAUUACAUUAUUCAUAUAAUAUCAAUACUAGUGAUUAGAAUACUAUAAAAUUUAAUGAUUCCUCUUUGAUAAAUAUCACAAAAUUUUUCAGUGUAAUCAUUACUUUAUAUGAUGUAAUACUCCAAUUAGGAUUAAAAAAAAAGGACUUUUCCUUCAUAGUAAUCAUUAUUUUUAUCAAAUAUGAAUUGUUUUUGACAUAUCAAAAUUAGUAGAUUAUAAAAAAAAUAAUGAUGAUCAUAAUUUACUUAUAUAUGAUAAUAAAAC